GACGAACCGUGCGGACGUUGUUCGGAAUCACUGGGCUUAAAGGGCGCGUAGGCGGGCUGUCAAGUCUGGGGUGAAAUGCCGCGGCUCAACCGUGGAACUGCCUUAGAUACUGACGGCCUCGAGGAAGGUAGGGGCAUGCGGAACUGUAGGUGGAGCGGUGAAAUGCGUUGAUAUCUACAGGAACUCCGGUGGCGAAAGCGGCGUGCUGGACCUUUUCUGACGCUGAGGCGCGAAAGCUAGGGGAGCAAACGGG
rnacentral:rRNA from 1 species